UAUGUUUGUUUAUGGAGGGUAGAUAGUUUUGUUUAUAUGUCUUGUUUUUCUCAUCGAACCCGUACAAAAUCACUUUAUAUUAUAUAACAUUUUUAUACCCGUCAAUCACACUAUAAAAGUAACCCGGCUGCCAUAAACAAAAGGUGAAGUUGAAUUUAAUAUGAAAUUAAUUAAUUGAGGAAAAGAAAAAAGUAAAGUAUGGUGUUGGAAAGUAACAAAAUGGGAAUAGAUGAUUUAUAAGGGAAAUAUUGUUGUGACGGAACAAGAGUCGUAUAUACUGGUGAUGGAGUUGUGAUAAGUUGUUGAUACCGUGUUGGUACAUGAUGUUGCUAUAAGCUAAUGAGUCGAGUUGGUACGAUCGCAGUGCAGACGAUGACAUCCUACAAGAUUUCAGCGCAAUGGAGGAGACCCCCCUUCUUUAGACAGUACCCCACCAAAAAUUUGGACACAACGUGGAAAACAUUCAGCCACCAGUGGAAGAAAUACCAAUUCGCCUCGUCAAUGGAUCAGAAUGGGAUCAGUCAGACUAACUAGUGCUUUCUACACAGCUGUUCCACGCAGAAACUGUCGUAAUAGAACAGACUGACACCAGGGAGUGAGAGAAAUUGGAUUCUUGCGUUCUGCUUUUAAGGGAAAUAAAGGCAACUUUUAGUGUGAGCGACUCUUUAACAUAUAACUUCCUGGUAUCAAGCGACGGGACUGCGUACGAAGCCAGCCCUUCUACCCCGAAUUAUCCCCUUUAGUGUUAACGUUCUUGGGUAUACUAGAACGACCAUCUUGCUGGGUUUUCAUAUAGGACCAAAAUGACUUGCGAUUUUUCAAGAUAGAAUGCUUAACAUUGGUCUUGUAGCAAGAGAAACAUUUAUCUAAGAGUUUCGGAACGUUUAUUAAGUAUGUCGUAUUCAAAUUUGUCACGAGGAUUGUGGUAUAUUUUAAAUAUUUUCCUUACUUUUUCUUUUUCAUUCAGUAGUUUAAUCGACACCUCACCACAACACCUACACCUUUAAUCUGGCCCUCGAGUACCAAGAUGGAUAAUUGCUCAUGAUUCUCUGUUUAGGUGGAAUGAAUGAGUUAAUUAUCUUAUCUAAUUCAUAGUAAAAUAUGUUCACCAUACCGUCAACAUUGUCGCAUGAUUCAAACAACCCAAACCAGUAAACACUCUUUAACCUAUCGUUUAUGACAGAAUAGUCAGCAUAUUUAAAAUUACGAGUAGAGAAUUUGCGAGUCUUUAACAGCGCUGCACUGUCAAAUUUACAUUCAAUCUCCAGAGGUGGUUGAUGGUCAUCGUCAAUGCUUUGUAAAACAAUCGAACCUGCAAAAUUACUAAACACAAGGUCAAAAACUUUGUCGUUUUUGUUUCUAACAUUACAUAAUUGCAAUAAAUUAUUAGAAGACAUAAAAUCCACCAACAAGUAACCAAGAUUGCAAUGAUAUCUAUUCGGAUCGUAAUGACGAUAAGUAUCGUCAUCAUUACGAGACCAAUAAAUAAAACUUAGAUUAAAGUCACCGAGGACCAGAGUGUCAACUCUGGUUUUGUCCAUUACAUCACUAACAUUAUUGAAAAAGUUCGUUAUAUAGUUACCAGACACCUGUCUCCUGAUCUUGCACAUAAACCGCACAAAUAAUUAAAGUUCGGAAGUUGUGCUCAAUCUUGACUUUUAUAGAAACCCAUAUAUCCUCACAAGAGCUAUUCCAUUUGCUAUGACCUCUAGACUCGUGCGAUUUCAGCACAACAAUAAUUACUUCACCAGCUUCUUUCCCGGAAAGGUGGGUAUCACUGCGAUUCUUCUAUAAAUUGAAUAAUUUGAGUGAAAGAUUUCACUGUCUUUUAUAUUAUCGGUUAACCAGGUCUCUGUUGCAACUAUAACAUCGAAAGUAUUAAUUAGACAAGCUAUGUUAAUGUCAUACAAUUUAGUUCGCAUACCGCGAAAAUUUUGGUAGUAGAUCUUAAAGGAGGUUAAAUCUUAAAUAUGCGGUCUAACAUUAGGUAAAAAUAAAAGAAUUAAAUACUAGAGAAAGAACAAUCAGCUAGGUUAUGUACUUCAGUGACUCCUUGUUCUUUAUUUGUUUCACCGGUGAUGUGUCAUUCUUCCGGAUGAAAAUUCGUCCAUUUCUUAUCCAAGGAAAAUGGACGAAAGAAGUACCUUAGUAUCUUUUUAAAUAAUUCAAAGACUUUCCUCGGUGGAAAGAAGAAUAAACGGUUUGCGUUGCUCUCUAUAAUUUCAAUAACACUUUAUUAAGACAAUUGAGUGUUAAUAAAGGAGAUAAAAACUUAACAUUUUUAUAAACAUAAAAUUA